CAUUUAAUUUAAUGUAGUUACUACUUGGUCAGUUUAAAUUUCUAGGUAGAAUUAUGAUGAUGACAUUAUCUAUCUAUUAGUCUUGACCAAAUUACGUGCCAGCAGUCGCGGUAAUACGUAGAAGACAAGCGUUAUUCAUCUUUAUUAGGUUUAAAGAGUACCAAGACGGUUAAUAAAGCCCAAAAAAAAUGAAUACGGGGGACACAUUAACUAGAGUUAUAUGAAAGGAAGCUAUAAGGUACUGUUGAGUGUAGAGAUGAAAUUUUAUGAUACCAGAUGAUUGGCACAGAUUUAGGCGAAGGCAUCUUCUUAUGUAAUAACUGACGUUGUAGGACGAAGGCUUAAGUAGUGAACAGGAUUAGGUACCCCAGUAAUCUAGGCAGAAAAUGAUGAAUGUCAUAGGCUGAAUAAGACAGGUUAAAUUUACGAUCGAAUAGUGAAUAGGUGUAUCUUUAAUGAGUCUAUAUUGUGUCUAUAAAUGAAAGUGUAAGCAUUCCACCUCAAGAGUAAUUUGGCAACAUUGGAACUGAAAUCAUUAGACCGUUUCUGAAACCAGUAGUGAAGUAUGUUGUUUAAUUAGAUGAUACACAAAAACCUUACCACAAUUUGAAUAUAUAUAAAAUAUAUUUACAAGCGCUGCACGGCUGUCUACAGUUAAUGUCGUGAGACUUUGGUUAGCUCCAAUAAAUAGACGUAAACCCAUAAUUUUAUUUAUAAAUAUAAUUAACAUUGCUAUAAUUGAUGUUUUAAGAAGGGAACAUGAMA
rnacentral:rRNA from 1 species